rnacentral:rRNA from 1 species
CGCUAGGACGAACGCUGGCGGCGUGCCUAACACAUGCAAGUCGAACGGAGUAAGAUUUUCGGAUUUACUUAGUGGCGAACGGGUGAGUAACGCGUGAACAACCUGCCUUUCUGAGGGGGAUAACACCUGGAAACAAGUGCUAAUACCGCAUAAGACCACAGAGCCGCAUGACUCAGGGGUCAAAGGAGUGAUCCGCAGGAAGAGGGGUUCGCGUCCCAUUAGCUAGUUGGCGGGGCAACGGCCCACCAAGGCGACGAUGGGUAGCCGAGCUGAGAGGCUGAUCGGCCACACUGGAACUGAGACACGGUCCAGACUCCUACGGGAGGCAGCAGUGGGGAAUAUUGGGCAAUGGGCGCAAGCCUGAACCCCAGCAACGCCGCGUGAGGGAAGAAGGUCUUCGGAUUGUAAACCUCUGUCCUAUGUGGCGAAGGAAGUGACGGUAGCAUAGGAGGAAGCCCCGGCUAACUACGUGCCAGCCGCCGC